UUGUUUAUUGUAUCACCUGGCGCAUCACCACUAGGAGCGUCAUACUCAUCUUCUAUGUCAUCUUCAUCACUCUGCGCUGUGCCUUGAAAGCUCCCAUUGGCUUUUUUAUCACGUUGAACAGUCCCCGCUGCUCCGGAUUCAGUAUCUACAAUUUCUGCAGCACACAAUGCUUAAAUUCAGUAAGAAAGAACGUGAGCACUAUUUUGUCGCCAGAAGCAAAAAAAAGUGAGGGAAAGUGGAGGAAGGCCCAUGGUGCGAUUGCACGUCAGUACGUCACUAUGCACAGAAAUUUGAGUUUAACUCUGUCGUGAGUUGAGUAACACCACAAUAAAACUCUCUGGUGGGACAAGCUAGCAACUUAAGCUUCUUACUACUGCAGAUGCAGAGCACUGGAGAAUGGCGAUGCAGAGAUAAACAAUAAUGAGUGCCACAAGGAGGAAAGUCAAUAGCCUAAUAAGAAGUCAUUGGACCUAAUAAAGAACCCAACGCAAGAAGAAGAAGAAGAAGAAGAAGAAGAGGAUGAGACCGUCAUCGUGCUCCAACAGCUGGGGAUUCUCCUCCCGUGACUCAGCUCCCUGCAUCGCGGACCUUGGCUUCUUUGGCCGGUUCUUCAGUCCUGUGACAACAGCAACAGCAACACGAGCAGGGAAAAGCACGUUAGGGCACAGCUGCAGCUCGAACGGAGGGGAGGAGGUGGCGCCGAAUCGGUUUGGGCAGGGGCUUGGUACCUCGAGCGGCGGCGGAAGGCAUGGGCUUGCGCUUCCCCAUCUCCCGUGGGGAUAGCAGCGGAGCAGGGGCGGCCUGAGGGAGGACGAGGAACGGGAGGCUGGGCGGGCGGCGCACGGCGGAGACGGAGAGGAUUUGGCGAGCAGCGCAGGUGUAGGCACAGGACUACAGGAGGAGCAGCGCACGGCGGGCGGCGGGCGGCGGCGGCGGAGACAGGAGAGGGCAGGUCUAGGAUUUGGGAGCGCGGGAGGGGAGAGUGCGGUGCGGGCGUGCAGCUUGGGCUGUGGGCCGUGGGCUUCUGGGCCCAACGUGAAGUUGGCGAGGGUGCCGCCUCCUGCCGAUGCGAUUGUUGCCGCUGACGUGGCUCCGUCCCCGCCGGCGUCCGCGUCGGUCCGCCGCCGACUCAGGCCUUGUUUAGACACAAAAUUUUAUUUUUGGGGUUUUUAACACCGUAGCAUUUUUAUUUUUAUUUGACAAAUAUUGUUCAAUCAUGGAGUAACUAGGCUUAAAAAGAUUCGUCUCGCGAUUUAUCGAUAAACUGUACAAUUUGUUUUUGUUUUCAUCUAUAUUUAAUACUUUAUGCAUGUAUUGCAAGAUUUGAUGUGACGGUGGCAGGCUGGCUAAGCGCCUUGCUUAGCCAUCUUGAGGACUCGGCUUUGGAUGCAGGCUUCAACCAACUACGGUUCCAACCCAUUUGGACCUUGGAAUGUCCACAGCAGGCAUUUCCCAUUUAAAUUUAUAGUUCUUCUUCAUCAACGCCUUGACUUCUUCAUUUGUUAUGAUGUGGCUUACAUGACGAUGAAAUGAACUGCAAAACAGAUAGAGGGACACAGAGGAGUUGCACGUGAAGUCAAAGAGUAAAUUAAGAACUUUCCACUAUUCAUUGGAACACAAAAGAAUAUGGAAAGCUUCCGAACGAGUUCACAACUGCAGUUCAGGAAAAGCCAGCAAAAUAGACAGUUUCAAAGGAAGCCAGGGCUGCAAUUCUGAAUAAACUCUGGGUGCACAAUAUUUGUUACAGCAGCAAAUUGAAACACAUGCUAGGGCACUGCCCCUCCAAUCUGAUGCCACAUGCCUACAGCCUGAUCAUUUUUUUUGGCAUAUAGUUAACACUGCAAGACAAUCCACUAAGAAUUACUAGCUGGAGCUACCAACAUUUUUAGCAGCAUUUACCACCACAAUUGACAUGGAAUAUUCAAAACUUCAACAAAUAUUGAUAAUGAUUCACAAAAAGAAGAGGAUUAGUGGCUGCAUUCCUUCCUCUGUCCUUCCUAAUCCUCACCUGCUAAAAGAACAUCCAACAGCUCAGCUUCUGUCAAGCGCAUAUACAUACUCCGUAUGUAGGAGCCACCAUCUCAACUCUCAAGCUGGAUGCUGCUAUUCACCCGCCAAGCUGAACAUCAACACUAUUGUGAGAGAAAAACACUGUUGAAUGGCUAUCAAAUUUGGCAGAUAAGCUCAAGCGAACAAGCUCUAACGUAGGUGGCUGUUUCACUUGUACCACCUUCACCGGGCUUUGUAUGUGCACUUAUGCACUUCAUGCUUUUAGGAUGCCUUCUGCUGCUCGUAAAACUUUGACUAUUUCUCUUCCAGAGUAUUUUUUUUCAGCUAUUAUUGAUGGUCAUUCGUCAUUUGUAAGCAAAUAGUGCCCAUCAAAAUGUUAUGGUAUGAGCAUAGCUUACAGCUCUGGAUAACAUCGACAGGUUGCAACAACUGCAGCGACCUGCUGCUACUGCAACAUUCAGAGGUCUCCACC
rnacentral:lncRNA from 1 species